rnacentral:tRNA from 1 species
AGGCACUUAGUUUAAGAAAAACACUUGAUUUCGGCUCAAAAGCCUACAGUUAAAAUCUGUAAGUACCUA